AAACAAGUGUAAUGCAGUGUUGACAAUAGAAAAUUAUAUUGGCAAGUUGUCAUUUCUACAGUAAAAACAGCUUUUUUUCAAGUAGUACGAAAUGUGACUUCGAUUUAUCUGUGGAACUAUUUGAACAGAAGGUAAGACAUUAAUUUUGUUGUAUUUAGAAAGCAAUUUCGUGCAUAUUUUCAUAUUAAUCACGUAUUGUUCGAGCGCUAUCCAAGUUGCUCGCCAUAUAUUUUUGCUGUCUCUGCACUGCAAACAGUCCUCUGUCCUGAAUAUCAGCUUUCUCCCUAUAUUUUCAGCCUGUAUGUUAGAGAACUUUUUCGUCUGGCAACUACAAUUCAUUCAUGAUUAAUUUUAUGUUUGUUUUUGUAGGAUAACAAGGCCGAAAUAUUUUACUUUUAAUACUUCGGACCAACUGAACAGCUGGAUGGGUAAUAUUUUAGAACCUGAUAUGACGUUGACUGCAAGUACAAUUUGUCAUUGAAUUUAAAGACUGGGGAAAAGAUUGUACAGCGUGGUGAUAUAACAAUUAUAAAUGAAACAGUGAUUUGAACUGUAGUGUGCAUGUAUUCAUUGUUUGAACAUGAAAAAUAAUUGUUGUCAGACAUGUAUAAAUAUCUUAAAAAAAAAGUAUGAAACAUUUCUCUAAUAGCAUGAUCCCAUGGCUUAACUGCACGUUGUGUUUGCCUGUUUGGAGUUAUGUAUGCCAGUACACAUUUUGAAUUAGUAAGUAGGUUGACGUGGCCUUUAAUACUUCAGGUAGUUGAAUCCAUAUAAAUCUUGGAACAAUGAGCUAGUCUAUCCCCAUCUUGUUUGUGAUAGACCUUGGGAAAUGGAUUGCUGAGGGAGAGUGCCACACCACCCAUUGGCUACUUACUACCCACAUAAGUGCUACUCACACUUUGAGUGGGCAAGGACCUGUAUCAAACCUGCAACCUUUCGAUUACAAGGCUAAUUCUCUACCAACUUUUAUUUGACUGCUUUUAGGUCUCACUCCCAUUGUGUAAAUAACCAGGUUAAUCUAUUAUCCAGUGCAGUAUAAAGCUUUUCUGGAUUUGGGAAGUGGGUAGGACUGUCAAAGUCAUUAACAGGGGGGUUAUAAUUAGACUCACUUGUUAUAAUGAUAUAAAAUUAGAAAUAAUUUUUAUUAUAAUAUUAGAAAAUUAAAAAAUUAGAGCCACUUAUUAUAAUAAUAUAGGAUAAUAAUAGAAAUGCUUCUUAUUAAUAUAUUGUCUACACUUUGAAACAAAAUACUUAUGACCAUUCUAACAGUGC